UACGUAGGCAGCAAGCGUUGUUCGGAGUUACUGGGCGUAAAGGGUGCGUAGGCGGUUGUUUAAGUUUGGUGUGAAAUCUCCCGGCUCAACUGGGAGGGUGCGCCGAAUACUGAAUGACUAGAGUGCGGGAGAGGAGAGUGGAAUUCCUGGUGUAGCAGUGAAAUGCGUAGAUAUCAGGAGGAAUACCGAUGGCGAAGGCAGGUCUCUGGGCUGACACUGACGCUCAUGCACGAAAGCGUGGGGAGCAAACAGG
rnacentral:rRNA from 1 species